CCAUAACGCGUCUAGGGUUCCGACCGCUCGCGGUGUCUGGUCCAAGAGAUGCACUCCCGUCCGCCGGUCAACGGCGAACGGAGCCACGGCGGGAUAAAAGCCCGGGAGAG
rnacentral:sRNA from 2 species